UACGUAGGCAGCAAGCGUUGUUCGGAAUUACUGGGCGUAAAGAGUGUGUAGGCGGUGCUCCAAGUCUGGUGUGAAAUCCCGGGGCUCAACCCCGGGCCUGCAGUGGAUACGGGCUGGCUAGAGGCAGGCAGGGGAGAACGGAAUUCCUGGUGUAGCGGUGAAAUGCGCAGAUAUCAGGAGGAACACCGGUGGCGAAGGCGGUUCUCUGGGCCUGUACUGACGCUGAGGAGCGAAAGCGUGGGGAGCGAACAGG
rnacentral:rRNA from 1 species